UACGGAGGGUGCAAGCGUUAAUCGGAAUUACUGGGCGUAAAGAGUGCGUAGGUGGUUUGAUAAGUUAUCUGUGAAAGCCCUGGGCUUAACCUGGGAAAGUCAGAUAAGACUGUUAGACUUGAGUAUGGGAGAGGGUAGUGGAAUUUCCGGUGUAGCGGUGAAAUGCGUAGAGAUCGGGAGGAACAUCAGUGGCGAAGGCGGCCAUCUGGGACAACACUGACGCUGAAGCACGAAAGCGUGGGGAGCAAACAGG
rnacentral:rRNA from 1 species